GUGUGUGGCUCAGUGGUAGAGCACUUGCCUAGCAAGUGUGAGGCACUGGGUUCAAUUCUCAGUACCACA
rnacentral:tRNA from 1 species